rnacentral:lncRNA from 1 species
UUUAGUUCGAGGUCGAUGUUGUCGUGCUAGCAUACUUCAAGUGUUGACCGGAGUGGGUUGCGGUAUACAUCUUUCGAACUUUGUGGUUGGUGGGCGACUGAACUCGUGUUGUGAGUUGCCUAUGUACCCUCGACGAGGGAUCAAGUCAUAACGUAAUUCGAUUGUUUCCCCAAAGGUAGGGUCGUUAUUCUGUUGUUCGUGUAUGUGUGUACAUUUAUUCGGGUUUUAAGUGUCGAUUAGGGAUGUGACUCGAUAUAUUUAAAGCUUGUGAGGUAGCAAGUUCUGGAGCUUUUCUGACUUCCUUUGAUAGUUUCAAUCCCUUUUGGUGCUGGGAACUUCAGGCAUUGGUGAUAGGUUGAAGGAACUGCCUUCAAGCUGUACAGCCAAGGUCUUCCAAGGAUUGCGUUAAACAGGGCUGGAUGUUCUAUUACGAUGAACUCGACGAUUUUUCUGACUCCUCCGGCAGUCACGGCGAGCUCGAUUAACCCGAG